rnacentral:rRNA from 1 species
UACGGAGGGUGCAAGCGUUAUCCGGAUUCAUUGGGUUUAAAGGGUGCGUAGGCGGACCUGUAAGUCAGUGGUGAAAUCUCUCAGCUUAACUGAGAAACUGCCAUUGAUACUGCUAGUCUAGAGUAUAGAUGACGUUGGCGGAAUAUGACAUGUAGUGGUGAAAUACUUAGAUAUGUCAUAGAACACCGAUUGCGAAGGCAGCUAACGAAACUAUAACUGACGCUGAGGCACGAAAGUGCGGGGAUCAAACAGG